UUGCCGUUUUUUCCGCGCCUUCCGGUAUAUAAGGACAACCAAGACUUUAGCUCCUGGCCACAAACCGCCAUAAAACACCACGAGAAGAAGAAGCUCCUGGCCAGAUUAUUUUACUGGUUUCCGAGCCUGUCAGAUCAUUCUUGCCAUCCUGCCUGCUCUGGAUCCUGAUCCCUGUUCUUCUCUGCCACCCUAGUUUCCUGGUUUGGACUUUGGACUGUUUUUGCUCAGAACACAGGACGCUCCUGCUAUACUGCUGUUCGAUUCAUGCUCAGUGUGGACCGCAAGAUUGUGAACGAUGACAUCACUACUUUCAUCGCUGCUAUUUGCCUAAUGUUCGGCAGUUACUACUGUUUCAACAUUCACUACCCUACUGAACUGGUGUCAGUGCUUGAAUUCCUGCAAAGAUCCAACACCAGCUUCUCCAUGCCAGAGCCUUUUAACACUCCAGGAGGUCCAAUGUCAAAACUUGGGGUCCAAUUGGCACUGAUAUGGACGAGUGGCCCAUGUUCUAUUUGUUUUUUGUGGGAUCGUUGUUUUAACCUCAGGUCCCCAACAGACACAAAAAAUCCCACAAAAAAAUUGUGUUCUGAAAGACAGCUGAUGUGAUGCAGUACGGUAUGUAUUUUUUUGCCCUCUUGUGGCCUGCAAAUUUCAUUGCGUCUGCAUAGAGAGAGUUCUCUGUCACUGUGCAUUACGUUGGUUUUGGAUAUUGCCAUAUUUUACCAUGUCUGCAUGAGAGAAUAACCUCUCUCACUGUGGAUGGUAUCCUGUACGGUGGUGAUGAUGGUGCAUAGGUGGUACAAUGCUCUGAAUGGCAUGCCUGCGGGUGACAACCAUUCAACCAUCUCUGUCUGGCAGAACUAUUUUUUUGUUUAAAAGCUUUUUCUUUCUUUUUAAAUAAAAUAUUUUUGUGGUGUCUUUUUUGUAUUAAAAAUAACAUUUAUGAAGUGAAAUCAAGGAUGUUUGUUUUGUUUUGUAUGGUUAGGUUAGCGUUGGG